rnacentral:rRNA from 1 species
GACGAACGCUGGCGGCGUGCUUAACACAUGCAAGUCGAACGGAAAGGCCCUGCUUUUGUGGGGUGCUCGAGUGGCGAACGGGUGAGUAACACGUGAGUAACCUGCCCUUGACUUUGGGAUAACUUCAGGAAACUGGGGCUAAUACCGGAUAGGAGCUCCUGCUGCAUGGGGGGGGUGGGAAGGUUCGGCGGUUGGGGGUGGACUCGCGGCUUAUCAGCUUGUUGGUGGGGGAGUGGCUUACCAAGGCUUUGACGGGGAGCCGGCCUGAGAGGGUGACCGGCCACAUUGGGACUGAGAUACGGCCCAGACUCCUACGGGAGGCAGCAGUGGGGAAUAUUGCACAAUGGGCGGAAGCCUGAUGCAGCAACGCCGCGUGCGGGAUGACGGCCUUCGGGUUGUAAACCGCUUUCGCCUGUGACGAAGCGUGAGUGACGGUAAUGGGUAAAGAAGCACCGGCUAACUACGUG